rnacentral:rRNA from 1 species
GGUCAGCAUACUGCCGUGAAUACGUUCCCGGGCCGUUGUACACACCGCCCGUCCACACCAUGAGAGUUGGGAAUACCCGAAGCCUGUGAGCUAACGAAAGAGGCGAGCAGUCGAAGGUAGAAUCAAUGAUUGGGGUGAAGUCGUAACAAGGUAUC